GAAUAUUGCGCAAUGGGCGAAAGCCUGAUCCAGCAAUGCCGCGUGAGUGAUGAAGGCCUUAGGGUUGUAAAGCUCUUUUACCCGGGAUGAUAAUGACAGUACCGGGAGAAUAAGCUCCGGCUAACUCCGUGCCAGCAGCCGCGGUAAUACGGAGGGAGCUAGCGUUGUUCGGAAUUACUGGGCGUAAAGCGCGCGUAGGCGGUUUUUUAAGUCAGAGGUGAAAGCCCAGUGCUCAACACUGGAACUGCCUUUGAAACUGGAAAACUUGAAUCUUGGAGAGGUCAGUGGAAUUCCGAGUGUAGAGGUGAAAUUCGUAGAUAUUCGGAAGAACACCAGUGGCGAAGGCGACUGACUGGACAAGUAUUGACGCUGAGGUGCGAAAGCGUGGGGAGCAAACAGG
rnacentral:rRNA from 1 species